rnacentral:misc_RNA from 1 species
ACGCCUCAACUCUCAUGGCUUGCCAUGAUGAGCUUGGACUUUGGGGGUCUUGCCGGCCUAUGGUUGGCUCCUCUCAAAUGGAUCAGCUUGCCAGUGUUUGGUGGCAUCACAAGUGUGAUAACUAUCUACGCUUUGUGGUUUUCCAUCAGGUAACCUUCAGUGAUGGAGGUUCGCUGGCGCUCAUAAAUGUCUCUCCUCAGUGGAGACAGCUCUUUGGAC